rfam:Gossypium hirsutum cultivar TM-1 chromosome 15, whole genome shotgun sequence
AGCCCAUGAUGAGGUCACAUUCUCAAUAGAUUAUUAAAUAUUUCCCAUGCAUCAUAUAAUGUCUCUAAGUGAAUUUGAGCAAAAGAAGAGAUGUCAUUUCUCAACUU